GUGCUUGAUCACACCACCCUGAAUGUGCCCAAUCUCAUCGGAUCUUAGAAGCUAAGCAGCUUGGAGCUUAGUCAAUACUCGGAUGAGUUGACCACC
rnacentral:rRNA from 1 species